GGCCGCCUGGCGAAAUGGCAUCGCGUCUGACUACGAUCAAGUAAUCAGGAGAUUGCAGGUUCGACCCCUGCGGUGGUCA
rnacentral:tRNA from 1 species